rnacentral:rRNA from 1 species
GAUGAACGCUGGCGGCGUGCCUAAUACAUGCAAGUCGAGCGAACAGACGAGGAGCUUGCUCCUCUGACGUUAGCGGCGGACGGGUGAGUAACACGUGGAUAACCUACCUAUAAGACUGGUAUAACUUCGGGAAACCGGAGCUAAUACCGGAUAAUAUAUUGAACCGCAUGGUUCAAUAGUGAAAGACGGUUUUGCUGUCACUUAUAGAUGGAUCCGCGCCGCAUUAGCUAGUUGGUAAGGUAACGGCUUACCAAGGCAACGAUGCGUAGCCGACCGGAGAGGGUGAUCGGCGACCCUGGAACUGAGACAGGGUCCAGACUACUACGGGAGGCAGCAGUAGGGAAUCUUACGCAAUGGGCGAAAGCAUGACGGAGCAACGCCGCGUGAGUGAUGAAGGUCUUCGGAUCGUAAAACUCUGUUAUUAGGGAAGAACAAAUGUGUAAGUAAAUAUGCACGUCUUGACGGUACCUAAUCAGAAAGCCACGGCUAACUACGUG